ACAGUUUAUAAAAAAUCAAUGCAGCAGAGGAGAUACUGAGAUUUUUUUAUGCCACGUGAGAUGAGGAGCGGGCUACAGAGGUCUGGUAAGAUCACUCCAGACCUACAGAUUUUUAUCAUUUUCACUCUUCUUCAGAUUCAACAGAUGCUGACUCAAGUGACAUCAUGAUGUUUACGGAUGUAGCGACACCGCACACAAAUCAUUGUUUUCUCAUGUGAGUUCUGGGCAUGCUCCUUAACUUUUCAAAACAUCUCGCCACUAACAGCCACAAGUAGGGUAGUGCUUAACUGGAAAUAUGUCUGUCAACACUGAAACGUAUAACUGAUAAUGAAAACCAUCAGUUUUACCCUGUCUGGACUGACAGGUACUUGUUUAUUUUACUGCCAUCUCUAAAUACCUGCUUUUUGUAAUUUGUCAUUACCAGAAGCUUAAAAAAGGUUUUAAAUCUGCGGCUGAGAGUGUGUGGUCCAUCUACAUUUCAUUUUUGAAAGUUUUUGGGGGGUUUUCAGCAGCAAUAGCAUCUCCCAGGAACCGGCUCACCUGAAUGGAAUGAAGCCAUCAUUGAUGUUAUUAGUUACACUUUCCCUGCUGUGACAUGUCAAAAUGUCUGCUGUGAAAAAUGUCCUACUCACUCAAAGAAAAUUCCAGUGAGAUAAGAGUUUUACAUAUGUUUGUUGAUCUUCUAAAAUAAUUUAAACAGCUAAUGAGACAUUAAAUUCUGUUUAUCAUGUAUCGCUGAUGAAUAAGGAAGGCAAUAGCAUUUUGCAAAACCCCAUCAAAGCACUAUCAUCACUAUCUCAGGCAAAGUAGACAUAUAGGCUUCAGAAAUCAUCGAGGAGCUUCUGCUCACGGUUUCAUUUUUAUGCACUUAUCUGGGAAGGCGUCAGGAGCCGAGACAAAACAUGCAGGAAUGAAAUAAUUUUGAGCAUUCAGUCUUGCUUUCAGUUGCAGUAGGGAUCAAAGCGAACAAAUCUGCUGUACUGUAACUGAAAAGUUAAACUUUUUUAAACAUACUUCAUCGCUUUCUCUCCUGGAUUGAUUGAAAUCAAUCAUCUAAUCUCACUGUAUUUGUACGCAUGUUAUACGUUAAGCUAGGGACAAUUCUGGAAGAAGGGGGAGACACCUAGUCUGGCUCUUUGUUUAAUGCCCUGACUUUAUCUGUGUAUCACAAAGACAUAUCUUCUUAUCUCACUCUCUUAAAGAAAGCAAACAAACACAUUUCACAAAAUGUUGAAAUAUUCCUUAAAUUCAUCUAUUUUAGCACCCAAGUCACCAA
rnacentral:lncRNA from 1 species